AAGUCGUAACAAGGUCUCCGUAGGUGAACCUGCGGAGGGAUCAUUACUGAGUUUUUCAAACUCCCAACCCAUGUGAACUUACCACUGUUGCCUCGGCGGCAGGAUCCUCUCUCUUCUGAGUAAACAAGCAAAUAAAUUAAAACUUUCAACAACGGAUCUCUUGGCUCUG
rnacentral:misc_RNA from 1 species